UUCAAUGGCCGGGCCUUGGCGGGGGAGCUUCGGCUCACCGGUUCCUUUGCGCCGGCCUCUCAACCCCGUCUUGCGCCCGGCCACCCCC
rnacentral:antisense_RNA from 1 species